AGAGGGUUCUGCUUGUGUAAGCCCUUCUUUGGGCUUCUCCACUGGCCGUAUGUGUGCUUAUUUAUUAUUUAGGAGAUGGGUUUCAGAGGAUUAUCCCACUUUCUCCAGAGGAGGGUUAGAUUUGUUGGCUGGCCUGGUCAGAUUUGCUUAGUCCAGACACACCACUAAACACUCCUUCCCCCGUGUCCCCUCUUCCUUGUUUCCAGUUGUCCCUUCAGGGUAUCUCAGAGUGGUGGAACUGGCCAUGCCAACCCAACUUUCAAGUUGCAGACACCCCAGGGCAGGCGAAAGGUGACUAACACCCCUGAAACCUUCCGGAAGCCGUCCCACCCUCCUCCCCGGCCCCCUCCAGACUACCUGCGCGUUGAAUCGCCACCUGCACCAUUGCCGGCACAUCUGAACAGGGCUGCUGGGGGCACCCCAGAAGCUGGGGCUCGAAUAGAAAGAAAGGAGUCAGCCAGGAGGCCUCCCCCAAGCCGGCCCAUGCCCCCUGCACCUAAUUGCCUACUGUCCCAGGAUUUCUCCAGGCCUCGACCACCUCAGAAGGCACUCCCAGCCAAUCCAGUGCCAGGCCAAAAGACCGGUCCCAGGUCAGGAGGCGCCUCCCUGCCUCAGCCCCCUACUUCCGGUCCUCAGCCCCCCAGGCCUCCAGCAGUGCCUGUUCCAAAGCUACCUGGGUACCGAUCACAGAGGGUUGGAGGGAUAACUAGCUCCAAGAUUUAGAAGUGUCCAGAAGUUUCUUGUUUCAACUGAAGACUCCGGAUGCCAUGGAACGUCCAGGAGAAAGAAGCCUGCUCACCCACCCUGAAGCUUCUUGGCAGCCUUCUGGAACAUCCCUCAUCCCCAGAAUCUCCCCCCCUUACCCUAGUGCCUCCUGCUUCCUCUGAGGCCCAGGGGGACUCAUAGCCGAUGGCUCCUAAGUGUUUGUCCUGUGCAAUAUACAGCCCGGGUAGGGAAGGGAAGCGCAGGGAGGGGGGGGGGGGAAGAGUCUCCCUCGGCCCACUAGCCAAGAGCUGCCAGCGAUGCUCAGGGAAGGCUUGAGCUGGGGUCCUCCUAUGCGGAGCUUGGAGAAGGUACCGAUCCUGGUCCUGUGCUGGCAGGAACACACGGGAGCAUCACUGAUGGGCCUCCCUCUGGGAUCCCAGGCUGCCCUUACCAUCUCUUAGCUUUUAAUGACUGAGGAAGCUACUGCUGCAUCCCUGCCCCAAGGGGCUUGGUCAAGAUGCCUGUUCCUGGCUAUGUGGCUGCAUGUGAUAAGCCAUGCUCCCCUCCCCUGCCUUUCUUCACAUUCCCACUCCCAUAUUUACACGGGUCACUCUGACUCAGACAGGUACUAUUUGUGAGUAGUGUAGACAGCAGGGGGGGGGUCAACCUGUGUCCCCUCUGAGCCGUGAUGCCAAAGGUCACUAAGGACAUUUAGAAUCUCCAUCCAUCCAUCUAUCCAUCCAUCCAUCCAUCCCCAGUGUUCCAUGUGUCACCUUCUCCUUUUCCAGCAUCCCUAUCCUAUGGUGCUUUGGUGGUGAACCACAGCAGCCCUGACUUGCUGAUGACUAUAUGCUAGUGACCUCCAAAUCAGGAUCCUGCCUUAUGGGGUCACCACUGGACUUUCUGCACUGGAUCUCAAGAGCAUUGAGCCGAGAGGGCGUGUGUGUGUGUGUGUGUGUGUGUGUGUGUGUGUGUGUGUGUGCGCGCGUGCGUGUGUAAGAGACAGAGACAAUGAGAGAGACAGACAGGCAGACAGCUCCGCAUGUCCUUGUGUUUUACCGCCUCAGGCAGAAUAAGGGACCUCCUCCUUAUUUCUGACCUAUAUCUAAGUAAGGCUCUCCAGGACAGCCACAGUUAUACUGAGGGGGACUGACAUGUUUGGAAUCCUGGCUAUUGUAUACACAGGGCCACCAGCCCUCCUUCGUGGUCAGCUCCGAGGUGGGACUGUUGACUCUGAACAGAUUGCUGUCAACAGCCGUGGUGAACCAGAUCUGGGCAGGGUUCCCCAAACUCUCUUCAACCAGGGUUUUAUCAGGCACCUCAUCGGUUCACUCCUGGUGACCGCCCCUAGGUGAUCGUCAUGGGAAAUGCUGAGAAGGUGGGAACGGGACGGGGGUGGCCCUUCUCUUGCUUGGUGCUCUGCUACUUAGGACAGUUCUUACACAUGUGUUGGGCCUGGCCUCUGAGAGGCCAUCUUCCAUCCCCAGAAAGGUGCUAAUGGCACUGCAGAGGGCUCGCUAGGGCCCUUCCCGCCACCACAGCAAGCAGUUGUUAGCUUUCGGAACCCUCCAGAGGAAGAGGCAAGCUUUUGACAUUUAUGACAUAGGUGGCCUGGGGGAGAAAGAUCUCAGGAAAGCGCCUUCCUCUUUUUCACAGUGACCGUGUUCUUCACUCUCUGAGGCCUCGGUCCAUGUCCUACAUCAGUUUCUCGUUUGUGUGCUUUACCAAAUGCCCGGUGAUUACAGGUCACCCCAAUUCUCACCACAAAGUUAGAAAUCCUCCACUUUCUGUCCCUUGAACCAUAUCAGAAGAAGACCCAUUUCCUUGCUCUUUGGUAAUCACUUCCGUUUUUUUUCUUUUUCAUUGCUUCGACAUCACCUCCAUCCCAUGACAUUAUACUGUGAAGUGUAAGAGGACGGGAUUUUUUUUAAAACUUGGUAGAAAUGUCGGCAGCUGCUCUACGUACACCUUCUUCACUCGAGGCUUUGUUUCCAGAGGCCAGCGAGGCUGUCACAGGCAGGAAUCCCUUCCCAUCUGCUUUUGUGAAGGGUCCCAUAGAGGUGUAUCUAGACUUCAAGGACAGGGUUUGUCCCAAAGGAUUGUCACUUAGGAUAUGUAAGAAUAUUACCACAUGAGGAGGAGGGGGCAGUUGCAACAGAACACUUUGGUCUUCCUACACCAAGUCGAUGAGGGCAUCCAAGACUGAAAGCCCUUUUCUUAUGCAUAGAAAGUGAGCAAGAACAGAAGUAACUGUUUAUGGCAUCUCUGUUCCCGGCCACUGAAGCGAGAUGUCUUUGGAAUAGGUCAAAGCCAAGGCUCUGGUGGGCUGAGGGAAGGUUUGUAGCUGGGUUUCGUGGUGUGCAUCUUUAGUCCCAACAGAGACAGAUGAAUUUGGGGUUUGAAGCUAGCCUGGUCUAAAAAGGAAGUCCCAAGACUGACAGGGCCACACAGAGAAGA